AGUGAACGCUGGCGAUAGGCCUAACACAUGCAAGUCGAACGGCAGCACAGUAAGAGCUUGCCCUUACGGGUGGCGAGUGGCGGACGGGUGAGGAAUACAUCGGAAUCUACUUUUUCGUGGGGGAUAACGUAGGGAAACUUACGCUAAUACCGCAUACGACCUACGGGUGAAAGCAGGGGAUCUUCGGACCUUGCGCGAUUGAAUGAGCCGAUGUCGGAUUAGCUAGUUGGCGGGGUAAAGGCCCACCAAGGCGACGAUCCGUAGCUGGUCUGAGAGGAUGAUCAGCCACACUGGAACUGAGACACGGUCCAGACUCCUACGGGAGGCAGCAGUGGGGAAUAUUGGACAAUGGGCGCAAGCCUGAUCCAGCCAUACCGCGUGGGUGAAGAAGGCCUUCGGGUUGUAAAGCCCUUUUGUUGGGAAAGAAAAGCAGCAGGUUAAUACCCCGCUGUUCUGACGGUACCCAAAGAAUAAGCACCGGCUAACUUCGUG
rnacentral:rRNA from 1 species